rnacentral:tRNA from 1 species
CAAGGAAUAGUUUAUGUAGAAUUCCAGCUUUGGGUG